AACUAACUAGGAUUCCCUCAGUAGCUGCGAGCGAACAGGGAUAAGCCCAGCACCGAAUCCCGCGGCCGAUAUCGGACGCCGGGAAAUGUGGUGUUCGGGAGGGUCCAUUAUCCCGAGAUUAUGCGGUGCGUCCAAGUCCUUCUUGAACGGGGCCACAGCCCAUAGAGGGUGCCAGGCCCGUAGUGACCGUCGCUAAUCGCGGGAGGAUCUCUCCUCAGAGUCGGGUUGCUUGAGAGUGCAGCCCUAAGUGGGUGGUAAACUCCAUCUAAGGCUAAAUAUGACCACGAGACCGAUAGCGAACAAGUACCGUGAGGGAAAGUUGAAAAGCACUUUGAAGAGAGAGUUCAAGAGUACGUGAAACCGUUUAGGGGUAAACCUGAGAAACCCGAAAGGUCGAAGGGAGAAAUUCAUUCGCGUUUCGAGGCAGGCGUCGAACGGUCGAGUGACGAAAGGCGUUUUUCGCGCUAUUUCGCACCCUCAGUUCGUACGAUCCGGCAGCGAACGCGUGCACUUUUCUCCUGGUAGGACGUCGCGAUCCGUUGGGUGUCGGUCUACGGCUCGCGGUGGAGCCCGUUCGUCGUGUCAAAACGUACGAGCGGACCCGCGUGUCCCGGCCGACUCGCUCGACGGUAUACGAAAGGUUUAGGGCCGCUCCACGAGAGCGUUCGGCUCGUGGCAAGCGCACCUGUUGCGUCAGCGAUUGGACCUAGUGCCGAUUCUGACCUCUGGUGACUGUUGGCCACGAUGUUCUCGAACAGACC
rnacentral:rRNA from 1 species